UUUCUUUUUUUUCUUGAUUAACUUAGAAUAAAUAAAAAUUUUGUUUCAAUAACAAUGAUAUAUAAAAAUGAGAUGUAGCCCUCUACAAAGUGAAAUGGAGGAGAAGGAUCUAUGUGGAUGAUCCCAACUAGUUUAAGACUAAGGCUUACUUAAUUUGUAUUUGGAAAUAUAGAAAUAAUGGGGCUAAAUGUAUAAUUACUACUAUGGGAAAGUAUUAUCAACGAAUGGUGUUUCACUUACAGGAAAAUUAAUGGA
rnacentral:misc_RNA from 1 species